rnacentral:rRNA from 1 species
AGAGUUUGAUCAUGGCUCAGGAUGAACGCUAGCUACAGGCUUAACACAUGCAAGUCGAGGGGAAACGACAUCGAAAGCUUGCUUUUGAUGGGCGUCGACCGGCGCACGGGUGAGUAACGCGUAUCCAACCUGCCCACCACUUGGGGAUAACCUUGCGAAAGUAAGACCUAAUACCCAAUGACGUCUCUAGAAGACAUCUGAAAGAGAUUAAAGAUUUAUCGGUGAUGGAUGGGGAUGCGUCUGAUUAGCUUGGUUGGCGGGGUAACGGCCACCAAGGCGACGAUCGAGUAGGGGUUCUGAGACGGAAGGUCCCCCANAUUGGAACUGAGACACGGUCCAAACUCCUACGGGAGGCA